CAGCUACACGGAGCUCUGAGGUUCAGCCUGUCGGAGGCUUUUGGACAUUUCUACAUGCAGAUACCAGAUGAAUAAUGGCAGGCUGUGCAGUUAAUUGGAGAGAGAACCUCCAGGAAAUCCGUGUUCUACUUGGUGAGUGAAAUUCCUGUAUUUUAUUUAUGUGUUAACAUUUAACAGGUAUCGCUGUCGGCAUAUAGCUUGUUAGCUCGUUACGCUAAUUAGCCAUUAUUGUAAGCAACGUUAUGUAAGUUAGUGUGUUCUAACCGCAGCUUUUAAUGAGUCAAAGAUAAGUCAGCAAGAAGAGAGAAGCCAAAAAUGUUAGACAUUAAGGUGAUAAUGCUUUGGAGAAAAGGCGUCUGUGUGAAGUUGUAAGUAAAGGCUCAGCUCUCAGUUAGCUGAUGUUAUGUUAACGGUAACUUUUACUGACGGGCAAUGUGAGAUUUAGCUACGUCCUGUAACAGAGUCACUGUUCAGUUAGAUACUAGUCAAGUGGCUGUACCUGAUCCCGAUGGACACGAAGGGUUUAAAGGCAGCCGAGGGGGGAGCUGCUGCGGAGUUCUGCCUGAAACUGUCACACCGAGGACCACCAAUGCCACUAUUUGAGCUAGCUGUCUCUCCCGAGGAGAUCCAUGCACCUCCAAGUAUAACGUUACUGUUUAAAAACAAUAACGUUAUACUAUUCUUUGUGGGGUUCCUCAGUGGGGAUUAUUGAUUCGAAGUACAUAUUAAAGGCUGCAAUUAGUUUUGAAGCCCUGUAGGAGGUGUCAUUUAUUGCGACCUCUGAGAAGCUCUUGUUUGGUUUACAUUGUAUAGACUCACCUAUUUACUACAUGUGCAUUCAGUCAGCUCUGAGACCUCAGAGUUUGCAUGGUCACAAUAAAAACCACCUAGUGAGAUUCCUAAUUACUCUGCAGAUCAUUCUUUGUUUCUGUUUAAACUAGACUUAUAUCAGAGCAGCAAACAAAGAACUCUUCAGAAACUUCAGGCUCUGUUAUGGUAUAUGGCUUCUUAUUUAUCUUAAAGUAUAAGGUAGAAAGUAAAAAUACUCCUGCACACACAGAAAUACACUGCAUAAUUACUUUUCAUGAUUUCAUGUGAAACAUGUUGGGAGUAUUUUCAUUUUUUAACUUAUACUAGGACUGAUGUUCUUAAGCAAGAGUUCAGUUUUAAUGUUUCAUGUUUUAUCUGUGGUAUACGAUUAGCUUUUCAGUAAGUAGUAAAGACAGGGAGUGCUAGAUAUCAUGUGACGUCACACAGUGGUCGCGGCGCCAUCUGUAGGACCGAGUACCAAAAUGUCGUCUAUCUGCUGUGCUGUGGGCUGUGAUAACAGCAAAUCUAAAAGUAAUGGAUUAACAUUUUACAAUAUCCCCAAAAACCCUGAGCGUCGUGAGAAAUGGAUUGCUGUUAUCAGGAGGAAUCACUGGACUCCUACAGAACACUCCAGGCUGUGCAGUGAGCACUUUAUUUCAGGCAAGAAAAGCGAUAAUCCUCUGAGCCCCGAUUACGUGCCAAGUCUGUUUGCAUACCUGUCACCUGAGCACCGCCAAAAAAAAAAUCAAUUGCCACAACGAUCUGACAACGUCACACUGUGAUAACAGUAACGUUAUUGACAUGGAGAUUAACUGCUGUGACAGCGUUCCUGAGAGUGGGCAGAGUGGGGAACACAGCUACUGUAAAGACCCCAUCGAUACUGAGAGAGAGUAGUGUAGCAUGCUCCAAUGAAGCCUGCCAAGCAGCUGUAAAGAAACUGACUGAAGAGUGUACCAGAUUGAGGUCAGAGGUCUAUCAGCUUCGGGACAGGGUAAGAAGGUCAUCUUUCCAGCAGGAGGCCUUCAAGGACAAUGAUGACAUGGUGCAGGACUUAACUGGACUUCCAUCCUAUGCAAAGAUGAUGGUCAUCUUUACCUUCUUGUUAGGAUUCCUAAAGGGGGGCCUGGGAUCUCUCCUUUUCACUGCUUUUUAAUGACUCUAAUGAGAAUGAGAUUGAAUUUACCACUGCACUUCCUCACAUAUAUAUUUCUUGUAUCAAAGCCUACUGUAAGCCGUAUAUUUAAUAAUACACUACAUAUAAUGUACAGUAGGUUGUCUUCAUUCAUAGUGUGGCCCAUUAAGGAACAGAUUCAAAUUAGUUUACCCAUGUGUUUCUAAAACAGUAGUUACAGAAAUUGUACUUCCAUAAUAGAUUGCUUUGAAGUUUUCAUUGAGAAGCCUAAGAACAUGAGAGCCCGAGCACAAACAUAUUCACAGUAUAAACAUCAUAAUACUGUGAAGUUUUUGAUAUCAAUAACUCCACAGGGAGUCAUAUCAUUUGUGUCUACUGGUUGGGGGGGGCGAACAAGUGAUAAGCACAUAACCCAAAACUGCAGUCUGUCCUAGCAGAUCGAGGGUUUACCAUAAAAGAUGCCGUGGGCUUGAAACAGUGCUCAUCUCAAAAUACCUGCCUUCACUAAAGGGAAACAGCAACUGCACCCAAGUGAACUUGAGACUACGAGGGGACUAGCAGCUGUUCAGAUUCAUGUAGAACGUGUCAUUGGUCUCGUGAGGAACAAGUACACAAUCUUACAAAGUACAAUACUCAUCUCUCUUUGCCAGACUACAACUCCAGGAAAGCUUACAUCUCUUGACAAGAUGGUCAGAGUCUGCUGUGCUUUGUGCAACAUUUGCCCAUCGGUAGUGCCUUCAGAAUAGAAAAUUUAAGUAUAACACAAAAUAUGAACUGUUUUUGUAUUUGUAUUUUGUAACUUUAUUUGCUAUUAAAAAAACAGCUGGCAGUAAAA